UCGGGAAUUUUGGGCAAUGGGCGAAAGCCUGACCCAGCAACGCCGCGUGAAGGAUGAAGUAUUUCGGUAUGUAAACUUCGUAAGAAUAGGAAGAAUAAAUGACGGUACUAUUUGUAAGGUCCGGCUAACUACGUGCCAGCAGCCGCGGUAAUACGUAGGGACCAAGCGUUGUUCGGAUUUACUGGGCGUAAAGGGCGCGUAGGCGGUGUGUCAAGUCAGUUGUGAAAUCUCCGAGCUUAACUCGGAGCGGUCAACUGAUACUGUCACACUAGAGUACAGAAGGGGCAAUCGGAAUUCUUGGUGUAGCGGUGAAAUGCGUAGAUAUCAAGAGGAACACCUGAGGCGAAGGCGGGUUGCUGGGCUGAUACUGACGCUGAGGCGCGAAAGCUAGGGUAGCAAACGGGAUUAGAUACCCCCGUAGUCCCUGAGCGGGCUGGCAAGGCGCAU
rnacentral:rRNA from 1 species